UACAGAGGGUGCGAGCGUUAAUCGGAAUUACUGGGCGUAAAGCGUGCGUAGACGGUUAUUUAAGUCGGGUGUGAAAGCCCCGGGCUCAACCUGGGAAUUGCAUUCGAGACUGAAUAGCUAGGGUACGGUAGAGGGAAGCGGAAUUUCCGGUGUAGCGGUGAAAUGCGUAGAUAUCGUAAGGAAGACCAGUGGCGAAGGCGAGUCUCUGGACAGUUACUGACACUGAGGCACGAAGGCCAGGGGAGCAAACGGG
rnacentral:rRNA from 1 species